UGCUUGGUCCACCGCCCUACAUAGUAAGU
rnacentral:piRNA from 1 species